rnacentral:lncRNA from 1 species
AGCAACACAAGUUAAAUAGCUUCAAAGAAUUCAUCGGGUUCUUGGGUCAUUGGUACUGGUUCACGUCCAAAACUGCCAAUUUAAGCGACAUACACAUGAGCUUUUUUAAAAGAAAAAAGAGGGUCACACAAAGUAUUGCUCUCGCCAUGCUUGCGCCAUGUGCUUUCUAGCCGGGGAUGAAAAUAAAAGGUACUCCAAGUGUCUCUCUCGCGAAGUUGCAAAGGAAGAUGUGAUGUCAACUUGCUCG